rnacentral:rRNA from 1 species
GACGAACGCUGGCGGCGUGCUUAACACAUGCAAGUCGAACGGAAAGGCCCUGCUUUUGUGGGGUGCUCGAGUGGCGAACGGGUGAGUAACACGUGAGUAACCUGCCCUUGACUUUGGGAUAACUUCAGGAAACUGGGGCUAAUACCGGAUAGGAGCUCUUGCUGCAUGGUGGGGGUUGGAAAGUUUCGGCGGUUGGGGAUGGACUCGCGGCUUAUCAGCUUGUUGGUGAGGUAGUGGCUUACCAAGGCUUUGAAGGGUAGCCGGCCUGAGAGGGUGACCGGCCACAUUGGGACUGCGAUACGGCGCAGACUCCUACGGGACGCAGCAGUGGGGAGUCUUGCACAAUGGGCGGAAGCCUGAUGCAGCAGCGCCGCGUGCGGGAUGACGGCCUUCGGGUUGUAAACCGCUUUCGCAGGUGACGAAGCGUGAGUGACGGUAAUGGGUAAAGAAGCACCGGCUAACUACGUG